CCAGGAAAUUAAUCCUAGGUGAGACCUGCCCAAUGAAGUUUAAAUAAAAAAGUAUAAAAUAAUUUUAAUAACUCUGAAUGGACGCGUUAACCUGAGCGUGAUAAUGUAGCACAAUCACUUGCCACCUAAUUAGUGGAUAGUAUGAAUGGUCAAACGAAUCUUACACUGUCUCUUUUAAAGAAAUCAUGAAAUUUAAAUAAUAGUCAAGAUGCUAUUUAAAACUGUAAGACGAAAAGACCCUAUAGAACUUAACUAUAAUUUAUUUCAAAAAAAAUAAUUAAAUAAUUAAUCAGAAGUAAAAAGGUAGUUUAGUUGGGGCGACUGUUUUUUAAAAAUAACGAAAACAAGCAAUAAUUAAAAUUUAAUUUUAUUGUAUAAUUAACAAAUUUAACAAUUAUAAAAAUAGGCUUUAAUGACCCGUUAUUAUGAAAAGAUACAAAUAACAAUCAUUGAAUAAAAGUUACCUUAGGGAUAACAGGGUUAUCUUGUAUAACAGAUCUAAUGAAAUACAAGGUUUGCCACCUCUAUGUUGAAUUAAGAUAUCCUAAAGGUGUAGAAGCUUUUAAGGGUUGGUCUGUUCGACCAUUAAAAU
rnacentral:rRNA from 1 species